UACGUAGGGGGCCAGCGUUGUCCGGAAUCAUUGGGCGUAAAGCGCGCGUAGGCGGUCAGGUAAGUCCGGUGUGAAAGUCAAAGGCUCAACCUUUGAAUGCCGCUGGAUACUGCUUGACUUGAGUCCGGAAGGGGCGAGUGGAAUUCCUGGUGUAGCGGUGAAAUGCGCAGAUAUCAGGAGGAACACCAAUAGCGAAGGCAGCUCGCUGGGACGUUACUGACACUGAGGCGCGAAAGCGUGGGGAGCGAACAGG
rnacentral:rRNA from 1 species